rnacentral:rRNA from 1 species
AUGGUUAAGUGGGAAACGAUGUGGGAAGGCCCAGACAGCCAGGAUGUUGGCUUAGAAGCAGCCAUCAUUUAAAGAAAGCGUAAUAGCUCACUGGUCGAGUCGGCCUGCGCGGAAGAUGUAACGGGGCUAAACCAUGCACCGAAGCUGCGGCAGCGACACUGUGUGUUGUUGGGUAGGGGAGCGUUCUGUAAGCCUGUGAAGGUGUGUCGUGAGGCAUGCUGGAGGUAUCAGAAGUGCGAAUGCUGACAUAAGUAACGAUAAAGCGGGUGAAAAGCCCGCUCGCCGGAAGACCAAGGGUUCCUGUCCAACGUUAAUCGGGGCAGGGUGAGUCGACCCCUAAGGCGAGGCCGAAAGGCGUAGUCGAUGGGAAACGGGUUAAUAUUCCCGUACUUGGUGUUACUGCGAAGGGGGGACGGAGAAGGCUAUGUUGGCCGGGCGACGGUUGUCCCGGUUUAAGCGUGUAGGUGUGUGUUCCAGGUAAAUCCGGUUCACUUUAACACUGAGGCGUGACGACGAGGCACUACGGUGCUGAAGCAACAAAUGCCCUGCUUCCAGGAAAAGCCUCUAAGCAUCAGGUAACAUCAAAUCGUACCCCAAACCGACACAGGUGGUCAGGUAGAGAAUACCAAGGCGCUUGAGAGAACUCGGGUGAAGGAACUAGGCAAAAUGGUGCCGUAACUUCGGGAGAAGGCACGCUGACACGUAGGUGAAGUGAUUUACUCAUGGAGCUGAAGUCAGUCGAAGAUACCAGCUGGCUGCAACUGUUUAUUAAAAACACAGCACUGUGCAAACACGAAAGUGGACGUAUACGGUGUGACGCCUGCCCGGUGCCGGAAGGUUAAUUGAUGGGGUCAGCGCAAGCGAAGCUCCUGAUCGAAGCCCCGGUAAACGGCGGCCGUAACUAUAACGGUCCUAAGGUAGCGAAAUUCCUUGUCGGGUAAGUUCCGACCUGCACGAAUGGCGUAAUGAUGGCCAGGCUGUCUCCACCCGAGACUCAGUGAAAUUGAACUCGCUGUGAAGAUGCAGUGUACCCGCGGCAAGACGGAAAGACCCCGUGAACCUUUACUAUAGCUUGACACUGAACAUUGAGCCUUGAUGUGUAGGAUAGGUGGGAGGCUUUGAAGUGUGGACGCCAGUCUGCAUGGAGCCGACCUUGAAAUACCACCCUUUAAUGUUUGAUGUUCUAACGUGGACCCGUUACCCGGGUUGCGGACAGUGUCUGGUGGGUAGUUUGACUGGGGCGGUCUCCUCCUAAAGAGUAACGGAGGAGCACGA